GACAGAGGUGGCAAGCGUUGUUCGGAUUCAUUGGGUGUAAAGGGCAGGUAGGUGGCCUAGCAAGUCUGACGUGAAAUCCCAGAGCUCAACUCUGGAACUGCGUUGGAAACUGCUGGGCUUGAGUACUGGAGAGGUGUGGGGAAUUCUCGGUGUAAGGGUGAAAUCUGUAGAUAUCGAGAGGAACACCAGUGGCGAAGGCGCCACACUGGCCGGUUACUGACACUGAGCUGCGAAAGCAAGGGGAGCAAACAGG
rnacentral:rRNA from 1 species